GAUGAACGCUGGCUACAGGCUUAACACAUGCAAGUCGAGGGGAAACGACGGGGAAGCUUGCUUCCCCGGGCGUCGACCGGCGCACGGGUGAGUAACGCGUAUCCAACCUGCCUCUGACUGAGGGAUAACCCGUCGAAAGUCGGCCUAAUACCUCAUGGUAUCGUCUGCGGGCAUCCAACGACGAUUAAAGAUUUCAUCGGUCAGGGAUGGGGAUGCGUCUGAUUAGCUUGUUGGCGGGGUAACGGCCCACCAAGGCUACGAUCAGUAGGGGUUCUGAGAGGAAGGUCCCCCACAUUGGAACUGAGACACGGUCCAAACUCCUACGGGAGGCAGCAGUGAGGAAUAUUGGUCAAUGGGCGAGGGCCUGAACCAGCCAAGUAGCGUGCAGGAAGACGGCACUAUGGGUUGUAAACUGCUUUUAUGCGGGGAUAAAGUGAGGGACGUGUCCCUCAUUGCAGGUACCGCAUGAAUAAGAACCGGCUAAUUCCGUG
rnacentral:rRNA from 1 species